UACGUAGGGGGCGAGCGUUGUCCGGAUUUAUUGGGCGUAAAGAGCUCGUAGGCGGUUUGGUAAGUCGGGUGUGAAAUCUCCAGGCUCAACCUGGAGAGGUCACCCGAGACUGCCAUGACUAGAGUCCGGUAGGGGUGUGUGGAAUUCCUGGUGGAGCGGUGAAAUGCGCAGAUAUCAGGAGGAACACCGGCGGCGAAGGCGGCUCACUGGCCAUAUACUGACGCUGAAACACGAAAGCGUGGGUAGCAAACAGG
rnacentral:rRNA from 1 species